CGAAUCUGAGUAACAUGGUGAAUUCGGUUAGUUCCCAAUAGGCCGCAGUAGUAAUAAGUGGACUGUUCGGGAUAUAGAAAAAUUUUCACGAAUGGAAUCAAAAUUCCUAGGCGAAUUAAGUGAGUUCCCACUGGGACAUGCUUGUAUGAGUGUGCUUUUCAAUAAAGAGCAACAUUUUAAGGAACGGUAACUAAGUAUCUUGGUGAAUUCAGUACGUUCCCAAUAGGAUUCAAUGUAAUAAGCUUGUUAUUCAAGAUAGAGCAACGUUUUUACGAACUGAAACACUGUUUCUUUGUGAAUUCAGUUAGUUCCCAGUAGCAGGCCCUUGUAAUAUGUGUACUUUUAAAGAUUUAUCAAAAUAUGGUGAGCCGAAUCUGAGUAACAUGGUGAAUUCGGUUAGUUCCCAAUAGGCCGCAGUAGUAAUAAGUGGAGUGUUCGGGAUAUAGAAAAAUUUUCACGAAUGGAAUCAAAAUUUCUAGGCGAAUAUAGUGAGUUCCCACUGGGACAUGCUUGUAUGAGUGUGCUUUUCAAUAAAGAGCAACAUUUUAAGGAACGGUAACAAAGUAUCUUGGUGAAUUCAGUACGUUCCCAAUAGGAUUCAAUGUAAUAAGCUUGUUAUUCAAGAUAGAGCAACUUUCUAACGAACUGAAACACUGUUUCUUUGUGAAUUCAGUUAGUUCCCAGUAGCAG
rnacentral:lncRNA from 1 species